AGGGAAGAGCGACGGAAGUCAGAGCACCUUCCUGUCCCGCCCAGCUCGGGAGCGCACUGGUUCAUGAGCUGAAAAUACAGAAACACAGCACUUGAAAAACAUGGUACCCAGGACAAAUCUGAAGCCCUAUUCUCUGGGUGCAAAAACUCUAGGAAAAUAUGUACCUAAGGCUGAUAAGAGUUUGGAAUCUUACUCUUCCACAGUUAGUUCUUCUACUGCCAUAGCUGAUCCAAUUAUCUAACUCCGGAGGUGGAGAACGGCCAUCUUAUCUGUUUAGUUUAAAUUCCUGCCAUUCCAGAUAAUGGAUCUGGUGUACUGCUUCUGGCUGUUCCUCUCAGAGUGAGGCCUCUGAGAGCUGGACGACUAACAGAUGAAUCAUCUGAUAAAGGCACUUUGUACCUGGCUAGUGAGCAGCAGGUUCGUCAACUAAGAUCUCAAAUCUACUUUUUGUCUGCCUUUAGCAGGUAAAUGAGGUUUGAUUUAUAAUUUUUAAAAGCUCACUACAAAUGGUCAUGUGGAGUGUAUCCAAGCCAGUGAAAAGCAGAAGGAAAUCAAUCAGGAAGCUACUGCAGUCCAGGCAAGAGGUGGUGAUGGCUCCACCUGGGGCGGUAGAAAUGGAAGUGAAGACGGGGGAGAGUAAACUACAUGGCGAGGGGAGAGCAAAGGUUAAGUUGAAGCAGAAGAAAAAUUUCCAAAGUACUCCCUCUAAAGAAAGGUAGGAAGAAUAUGUUUUAACUGAUUUUUAAAAUACUUAAACAUACAAAAAAUAUAAAACUGGAACAAAUUCACUAUCCACCUUAAGAAAUAAGACCUUCUAAAUUCACUUGUAGUCCAGGGUCCCAGAAGCAUUAUACUCAAUUUGGUGUUUAUCAUUCUGGUGCAUGUUUUCAUACUAUGCUUAUGUAUACUAAAAUAUAAACAUAUUUGUAUAUACUGUAUACUUUGUAUAUCCAUAAACAGUAGAGAGCAUUUUUGCGUGUUUUGAAACCUUAUACAGAUGGUAUACUUGAUGUUAUGUAGUAACUUGCUUUCCCCAGAUGUUAUUUCUGAGAUGUGUUCUUGAUGAAAAAGCCCUUGUUUCAUAGCUGUAGUUUUCCACUGUAUGACUGUCACAGUUUAUCCUUUCUCCUGACAAUGGACAAUUGGGUUAUAUAAAUUAGAGUAAGCUAACAAAGAGACCCAGAAAUGUAUGUCUCAAACAAUGGACAUUUAUUUCUUGCUCGUAUAUUCAUCUGAUAGAUAUUCCAGGUUGACAAGUAGCCCUUCCGGGGGUGAUUCAGAGUCAGCCAUCCUCCGUUUUGUGCUCUAACAUCCUACAGCCCCAUUGUCAUCUGCACCUGAGGAAGGGGGAAGCAUGGACAUACACUCACUCCAAAGUUCUAGCCUGGAAGUGACACCAUCACGUCCACUCACAUUCCACUGGAGAGAAGUUGGCUACCCCUUCCCCACUGGGGACGGGGAGUAAAGGGCUGGGAACUGUAGUCUAGCCAUUUGUUCUAUGAGCCUAUAAUUUUGCAAGCUGAGAGCAGAUUUUGGUGGACAGCAGAAGUCUCCACUACAUGUUGUUUCCAGUGUCUAUUAUGAACUGAACUCCAAUAGCCACACUUGUUUGCGUCCCCUGGUACACCUGAGCAAGAGGAGUUUCUCUGUCCAUACCUGGGAACGAGACUGUUCAGUCUGAGGGCCUAUUUUCAACUGUACCGGAGAUGCUGCCAAAUCCUUUUCAAAGUGAUUGUACGAAUUCACAUUCCAAAUCACACAUCAGAGUUCAUGGCUCCAAAACCCAACCUUAUCUGAUAUUGUCAAACUUAAGUUUGUUAUGCUAAUGAACUUUUAAUAAAACUUAAAACCUCAAAUAAAUAGUAUGAUCAGGAUAGUCUGUACUGAGUCCUGCUGAUGUCAGCCCCAGAAGAAAAAAGGGGUGCCUGUAAGGGCCAUGUGAGACUGGGCAAGUUUGCUAAUGCUUACCACUUGAAUCUCCAAUUACUCCUUUUAGCCAGCAGAUUGUGGGGGCUGAGGAACAACCAAGACAACUGCAUUUGGUACUUAUUUCAAACUCAUUACCAUCUCUAGCCAUUUUCUUACGCCCAUAUACUGUAUCAGCAAGGAGUCAAGUAGCAGGUCGGAAGUCAAUGAAAAACGAAACAUCAAUUUGAGAGUCAUUUAUUUGUCAUUAACAAACAUUUCCCAAGUCUUACUCACCAGAAAUUAACACAGCUUCUUCAUUUCUCCUCCCUGACAAUCCUCAUCUACUGAAAGGGCUCUAAAUGCGCAAGUGC